GGGGCUGUAGCUCAAUGGCAGAGUGCUUGCCUAGCAUGCAUGAGGCACUGGAUUCAAUCCUCAGCAUCA
rnacentral:tRNA from 1 species